UACGUAGGGUGCGAGCGUUAAUCGGAAUUACUGGGCGUAAAGCGCACGUAGGCGGUUUGUUAAGUCGGAUGUGAAAUCCCUCGGCUCAACUGAGGAAGUGCAUCCGAAACUGGCAGGCUUGAGUACUAAAGAGGGUCGCGGAAUUCCCGGUGUAGAGGUGAAAUGCGCAGAUAUCAGGAGGAACACCUAUAGCGAAGGCAGCUUGCUGGGACGUUACUGACGCUAAGGCGCGAAAGCGUGGGGAGCGAACAGG
rnacentral:rRNA from 1 species